rnacentral:lncRNA from 1 species
UUGUUUUGUUGUUGAUUUUGAUGGUUUUUCUUUUAUUUUCUUUUUUUUUUUUUGAUCGGUUGGUCCUGGGGCAAGAGUGUUGGGGUGGUGAGAAAUUUGGGUAAUGGGAGACCAAAUAUGUCCAGUCAACUGAGUUUUGUGUUGUGUUUUUUUUGUUAUUUUCGAUGAUUUUCUCUUUGGUUAAUGGGAAAUGUUGCAAAAAGAGGGAACUUUGAGUUUUGGAAGCUGGGUUUGUUGUUGUCAAUUUGCUGGUUUUCUGUUUGAUUGUUGAGAAAAUGAUGGACAAGGAGAGAAAUUUCAAAUUUGAAAGCUAGAUUUUUCAUUAUUCUUUCUAUUCAGACGAGGCUAAUGCCAGUAACGAGCUUAGCCAAGUUGGGUUUUUUCUUGUCUUCUGUUUUCUUAGCCACCAAACGGAACUAUGAAGCAAUUAGCUAGUGUGGAUGUUACUUCUUGAAGAAGGAAAGCUGAUUCUCAUUACCUUUUUUCAGGUGGUCCCGCUCAGAUCUGGGUCGACACUUGAGCAAUUUUCAGGGAAAAACUUGCUUUUGAGGAGGCUUUGCAGUUCUCAGGCAUGCAUAGAUCUCGCUGAAACAGAGGCAUUUCACAUCUGAGCAAAGAGAAGAUCAGGUGGCAAUGGACUCUGAAGGAGAAUCUGGGGUUAGUAUUUUACAACAUCCUUUCAGAUUAUGCACUUACCCUCUGCUUGUUGAUCAUAAAGUUGACAAAACCCAAAGAAAAAAAAGGGGAAACCUUGUAUCUCAUGGUUUGAAAAAUCUAUCCUCCACUGAACUAAAAAAUUAUUAGGUUCAUUUCUCUGCAAGUUUUUGUUCCCUGGCUUUUUAAUAACGAAAGAUUCAAGCAGCAUUGAUUUAUUCCACGUUUAAGCUCUUGAUUGAUUUAUCUACAUUUUUGUUUUUGGUUUUUACUUUCUGGAUGGGUUAGUGGCUAAUUGAUUUACAGACUGAAAAUUCGCAAAAUCGAUAUGGUUAAUGAAUUGUGAGACAUGAUUAUGCAGGCCAAGUCCUUGAAGGGCCUGGGUGGUCAGGUUUGCCAGAUCUGUGGUGAUAAUGUUGGCAAGACUGUAGAUGGUGAACCCUUUAUUGCUUGCGAUGUUUGUGCAUUUCCUGUAUGCAGGCCCUGCUACGAGUAUGAGAGGAAAGACGGGAAUCAGUCUUGCCCUCAAUGCAAAACCAGAUACAAGAGGCAUAAAGGUCGGUUGAAUAUGAUAAACAUUGUGCCCAUAUCAGUUGAUCAGAUAGAAGGAAAAUAAGUAGAUUUAAUUAUUUGAGAUGAUUGUUUGACAUUUUGUGCAU